rnacentral:rRNA from 1 species
GCGCAGCAGGCGCGAAACCUUUACACUGCACGGAAGUGCGAUAAGGGAAUCCCAAGUGUCAAUACUUUGUAUUGACUUUUGCCAAGAGUAAAAAUCUUGGAGAAUAAGUGAUGGGUAAGACUGGUGCCAGCCGCCGCGGUAACACCAGCGUCACUAGUGGUGUCCAUUUUUAUUGGGUCUAAAGUGUCCGUAGCUUGGUAUGUAAAUCCUCUGUGAAAUCGUUGGGCUUAACCUAACGAAUGGCAGGGGAAACUGCAAAUCUUGAGACCGGGAGGAGCUAGAGGUAUGCUUAGGGUAGCGGUAAAAUGUGAUAAUCCUGAGUAGACCACCUGUGGCGAAGGCGUCUAGCUAGAACGGGUCUGACAGUGAGGGACGAAGGCUAGGGGAGCGAUCCGGAUUAGAUACCCGAGUAGUCCUAGCAGUAAACGCUGCGAGUUAGGUGUUGCAUAACCUCCAGGGUUGUGCAGUAUCGUAGGGAAGCCGUUAAACUCGCCACCUGGGGAGUACGGCCGCAAGGUUGAAACU